UUAAGCAAGAAAGAGCAUAAGGUGAAUGCCUUGGCACUGGAAGCCGAAGAAGGACGUGACAAGCUGCGAUAAGCUGCGGUGAGGAGCAAAUAUCCUUUGACCCGCAGAUGUCCGAAUGAGGGAACUCACCUGUUUUAAUAGGCAGGUAUCCUAUGAUGAAUAUAUAGUCAUAGAGAAGGAAACCCGGAGAACUGAAACAUCUAAGUACCCGGAGGAAAAGAAAGAAACAUCGAUUUUCCAAGUAGCGGCGAGCGAACGGGAAAGAGGCCAAACCGACUAUUUAUAGUCGGGGUUGCGGAUCACCAUAAGAGAUGCUUAAGCAUAGACAAAUACAGCUGGAAAGCUGAAGCAAAGAGGGUAAUACUCCCGUAGUUGAAAUGCGAGAGCGCUCAGGUGACACCAGAGUAGUGCCGGACACGUGGAAUCCGGCAUGAAGCCGGGGGGCCCACCCCCCAAGCCUAAAUACUAACCAGUGACCGAUAGCGAAGUAGUACCGUGAGGGAAAGGUGAAAAGAACCCCGGGAGGGGAGUGAAAUAGAACCUGAAACCUUAUGCUUACAAUCGGAGGGAGCGCAAGUGACCUCAUACUUUUUGUAGAACGGGCCAACGAGUUAUGGUAUGUAGCAAGGUUAAGGUGCUGGAGCACCGAAGCCGCAGGGAAACCGAGUCUUAAUAGGGCGGGAAGUUACAUGCUGUAGACCCGAAACCGGGUGACCUAUCCAUGUGCAGGUUGAAGUAACUGUAAAAGGUUAUGGAGGACCGAACUCAUGUCUGUUAAAAAAGGCUGGGAUGACGUGUGGAUAGCGGUGAAAUUCCAAUCGAACUCGGAGAUAGCUGGUUCUCCUCGAAAUAGCUUUAGGGCUAGCCUCAAGGAAAGAUACGCGGGGGUAAAGCACUGAAUGUUCAAGGGGCCUUCACCGGUUACCAAAAACUAUCAAACUCAGAAUACCGCAGUAUUAUACUUGGGAGUCAGGCUAUGUGAGAUAAGUUUCAUAGUCGAGAGGGAAACAACCCAGACCAACAGCUAAGGUCCCAAAAUGUAAGUUAAGUGGAAAAGGAUGUGGAGUUGCAUAAACAGCUAGGAUGUUGGCUUAGAAGCAGCCAUACAUUUAAAGAGUGCGUAAUAGCUCACUAGUCGAGUGACCUUGCGCCGAAGAUUUCCGGGGCUAAAUCGGAUACCGAAGCUGUGGACUCAUCUAAUGAGUGGUAGAGGAGCAUUGUGUAAUAGGUAGAAGCAGUAUCGAAAGGCGCUGUGGACGAAACACAAGAGAGAAUGCUGGCAUAAGUAGCGAGAAGGAGUGUGAGAAUCACUCCCGUCGAAAACCUAAGGGUUCCUGAGCAAGGCUCGUCCCCUCAGGGUAAGUCGGGACCUAAGGCGAGGCCGAAAGGCGUAGCCGAUGGACAAGUAGUAAAAAUUCUACUACUAUCAAUUAUCGUAUAAAUGAAGCGGGGACACAGAAGGAUAAGCUAAGCGUACCAGAUGGACGAGUACGCUCAAAUAAAAAGGCAUGCCAGGACUAAUAACCAGGCUAAGCCAAUUUAUGAUGAGGAUCGAAAAUAAGUAGAGAAGUAGCCGAUUUCACACUGUCAAGAAAAGCCGCUAAAUAGAUAAAAGAUACCCGUACCGUAAACCGACACAGGUAGGAAAGGAGAGAAUCCUAAGACGCGCGGAAGAACCUUUGUUAAGGAACUCGGCAAAAUGACCCCGUAAGUUAGCGAGAAGGGGAGCCAGAGCGAUCUGGCCGCAGUGAAUAGGCCCAAGCGACUGUUUACCAAAAACACAAGUUUCUGCUAAGUCGUAAGACGAAGUAUAGGAGCUGACACCUGCCCGGUGCUGGAAGGUUAAGGGGAAGGCUUAGCGUAAGCGAAGGCUAGAACUUAAGCCCCAGUAAACGGCGGCCGUAACUAUAACGGUCCUAAGGUAGCGAAAUUCCUUGUCGGGUAAGUUCCGACCCGCACGAAAGGCGUAAUGAUCUGGGCACUGUCUCAACAAUAGACUCGGUGAAAUUGUAGUACCGGUAAAGAUGCCGGUUACCCGCAGCAGGACGGAAAGACCCCGUGGAGCUUUACUGUAGCUUGAUAUUGAAUUUCGAUGUUGCAUGUACAGGAUAGGUGGGAGACAGUGAAUACAGUACGCCAGUAUUGUAGGAGUCAUCGUUGGGAUACCACCCUUGUAAUAUUGAAGUUCUAACCAUGUAGCGUUAGCCGGUACUGGGACAUUGUCAGGUGGGCAGUUUGACUGGGGCGGUCGCCUCCUAAAGAGUAACGGAGGCGCCCAAAGGUUCCCUCAGCGCGGACGGAAAUCGCGCGAAGAGUGCAAAGGCAGAAGGGAGCUUGACUGCGAGACAAACAGGUCGAGCAGGUACGAAAGUAGGGCUUAGUGAUCCGGUGGUUCCGAGUGGAAGGGCCAUCGCUCAACGGAUAAAAGCUACCCCGGGGAUAACAGGCUUAUCUCCCCCAAGAGUCCACAUCGACGGGGAGGUUUGGCACCUCGAUGUCGGCUCGUCUCAUCCUGGGGCUG
rnacentral:rRNA from 1 species